AGAGUUUGAUCAUGGCUCAGAUUGAACGCUGGCGGUAUGCUUAACACAUGCAAGUCGAACGGUAACAUGGGAGCUUGCUCCCGAUGACGAGUGGCGGACGGGUGCGUAACGCGUAGGAAUCUGCCUAUUAGUGGGGGACAACUUGGGGAAACUCAAGCUAAUACCGCAUACGCCCUACGGGGGAAAGCGGGGGAUCUUCGGACCUCGCGCUAAUAGAUGAGCCUGCGUUAGAUUAGCUAGUUGGUGAGGUAAUGGCUCACCAAGGCGACGAUCUAUAGCUGGUCUGAGAGGACGAUCAGCCACACUGGGACUGAGACACGGCCCAGACUCCUACGGGAGGCAGCAGUGGGGAAUAUUGGACAAUGGGCGAAAGCCUGAUCCAGCAAUACCGCGUGUGUGAAGAAGGCCCGAGGGUUGUAAAGCACUUUCAAUUGGGAGGAAAACAGGCAGGUUAAUAACCUGUCUGGAGACAUACCUUAGAA
rnacentral:rRNA from 1 species